ACCUAGCACAUUUCCAGUGGAAUUUUCCUCCUGAACCUAGCACACACGUUGUCGCUGGCCUUGGCAACACUGCGUCGAGUCGGAAGCGAAAGAGAACAGCUCAAUGUCGGGACGAGACGGAGGAAAGAAAAAGCCUCUUAAGGCUCCCAAGAAGCAGAAUAUGGAUAUGGACGACGAUGACAAGGCAUUCAUGCAAAAGAAGAAGGAUGAGGAGAGGAAGAUAAAGGAAUUGCAACAGAGAGCCGCAAAGGGUGGUCCACUCGGUGGAGGUGGCAUCAAGAAGAGCGGAAAGAA
rnacentral:lncRNA from 1 species